AUUCGAGUCCAGAUAAAGUCCAUAUACUGUAUUGCAAAUGGUUAAUGUUUCUUAAGUCUCUUUCUCUCUUUUUUUUUUUCCUUUUCAUGUCUGGCUAAAUUUUUUAAUUUUUUGUAGAGACGAGGUCUCACUAUGUUGCCCAGGCUAGUCUCAAACUCCUGGCCUCAAUCGACCCUCCCACCCCAACCUCCCAAAGCACUGGGAUUACAGUCAUGAGUCACCAUACCUUAAGUCUCUUUUAUUUAUUUAUGUUUGAGACAGGAGGAUCUCUGUCACCCAGGCUGGACUGCAGUGGUGUGAUCUCGGCUCACUGCAACCUCUCUGCCUCCUGGGUUCAAGCAAUUCUCGUGCCUCUGCCUCCCAAGUAGCUGGGAUCACAGAUGUACACCACCACACCCAGCUAAUUUUUGUAUUUUUGGGAGAGACAGGGUUUUGCCAUGUCUGCCAGGCUGGCCUCAAACUCCUGACAUCCUGUGAUCCACCUGCCUCAGGCUCCCAAACAGCUGGGAUCACAGGCAUGAGCCACUGCGCCCAGCCUUAAGCAUCUUUUAAAUUAUACGUCCCCAUUUUUCUCUUUUCCCUCCUUACACUUUAUUUGUUGAGGAAAUUUGUAGAAUUUCCCACAGUCUGGAGUUUGAUUGCAUUCCUAGAUCUAGAGGCUUGAAAACCCUACUGCUUUCAAAAUAAUGAGCGAGUUCCCUAGCAUCUCUGAAAAUGAUCAUUAAUUUUUAUCACGAACUCAUGGAUUUACAUAUAUUUGAAAUAUUUCAACCCAUUGCCAUUAUAGUUAGGGUAUUUUUUUUUCCUUGAGACAGAGUCUUGCUCUGGUGCCAGGCUGGAGUACAGUGGCGUGAUCCCGGCUCACUGCAACCUUUGCCUCCUGGGUUCAAGCGAUUCUCCUGCCUCAGCCUCCUGAGCAGCUGGGAUUACAGGUUAGAACCACCAUAACCAGCUAAUUUUUUGCAUUUUUAGUAAAGACAGGGGUUUCACCAUGUUGGCCAGGUUGGUCUCAAACUCCUGACUUUGUGAUCCAUCUGCCUCAGCCUCCCAAAGUGCUGGGAUUGCAGGGGUGAGCCACUGCGCCUGGCCAGUUAGGGUAUUUUUUAAAAAUUGUUUUUCUAGGCCAGGCUCAGGGCUCACGCCUGUAAUCCCUGCACUUUGGGAGGCCGAGGUGGGUGGAUUGCCUGAGGUCAGGAGAUGGAGACCAGCCUGACCAACAUGGUAAAACCCUGUCUCUACUAAAAAUACAAAAAUUAGCCAGGCAUGGCAGCAUGCAUCUGUCAUCCCAGCUACUCGGGGGGCUGAGGCAGGAGAAUCACUUGAACCAGUGAGGUGGAGGUUGCAGUGAGCCAAGAUUGCACCACUGCACUCCAGCCUGGGUGACAGAGUGAGACUCUGUUUAAAAAAAAAAAAAAAUUGUUUUUCCAGCUUAAAUUUGGGGAGUGAGGGCGAUUACAAGGAACAUAAAAAUUAAGAGAACUCUGUCUGGCUUUGGAGGCAAACAGCCCAUGGGUGGAAUCCCGGCUCCACCACUUACAAGCUGAAGAACUUUGGUCAAGUUACUUCUCUUUCCUUCUAUUUCCCCAUCCCCGGAAUAGGGAAAUGAUUAAUAAUAACUUACAUUUCCUGAGUGCUUACUAUCUUCCAGGCAUUGUGCUCACUAUCUUAAAGACUUGAUGACACUUUAAUCCUCCUAUCAGCUCAGUGAAGCAGGAAUCAUUAUUGUCUUCACUUUAGAGGUGAGGAAGAAACUGAGGCACGGGGUUGAACAAUCUGUUUAAAGUUACACACCUAGAAAGAGGCGUGGCAGGGACCUGAACCAGUAUAGCCUGACUCCACAGCCCUCUGUCCUCUAGAGGUUGAUGUAGAGAAGAGAGAGAGUGAUGGUGAUGUCUCCUGCAGGCCUUGACAGAUGGGAAGAUCAAACCAGAAGGUGAGCAGGGCCAUCCCUACCACUUCCCCUCAGGGCUGGAGCACAGUCAAGCCUGGUACAUGGCAGGAGCAACCCCUAUUGCAGCUGUAGUCUCUCCCCUUCCCCAGACCGCCCCAACCCCUGUUGUGACCCAGACCCUUGCCUAAGAACACAGCUGUUCUCGAUAAGGAAACUGAGGCUGAGAGGGUAGAGAACUUUGCCUGCAGUCACUCAGCAGGGACCCACCCAUCACAGCAAAUGCCAGCACUGCUGAUGCCCAAACAAUGUUAUCUGCGUAGCCUAUAGUCUGCAGGUGAGAGGAGUGGAGCUGGAUGAGGAGGGAGACAAACGCAUACACAGAAGAUUCAGACACACCUGCAAUGUCUUGUUAGAAAUUCUCCAGCAUUGGCAUGGUAGAGAGGACGGAGAAGUAUUUGACCGCCUCCCCCUAGGAUUGCAGAGUUCGGCUGGCCACCGUCCACCAGCCAGCAGACUCUGUGCACGUAAUAAUGAUGAUAUUGCUGACUAAGGGCUCCUGUCCACUCCCAGUGAGCCCCGUCCCAGCCCUCCUCAGCAGUGACUGCACGCCCCCUUGCCACAGCAUCAUGUGCCACCUGUUCAAAGGAGGAACGUACCAGCUUGCGGAUGUGACCUUGACUGCAAAGAGGGUCGUGCAGCUGAUGUAAUGGUCUCUUAAGUGUUCACAAAUGUCUGAACACCCUGUGCUACCAGGACCUGCUUGGAUGCUGCUCUCAGUGAGCUCCUGGGCUCAUUGAAGAUGGACCUAGCAGUAGUAUGUAUACCACUUAUAGUGUGCCCACUGUGGGCCAGGCGCCAUGCCGAGUGCUCUAUUUGUGUGAGCUAAUGAAUCUGCAUGGGUGGGAUUCGAAUGCAGGGUGGUCUGACCCCAAGGCCAAUAUCUCUUUCUAUUGCACCAUGCUAUGGCCUUAUCAAAGACCAAGCAUCUAGGACAGAGAGAGAGGGAGCAGGAGUGGACAUGGGGUAUUCUGAAGUGGCCUCCUGCUGUGUCCCAGCCCCUGUGUCAGGAUUCAUUGAGUUGUCACAAAAAUCCUGAGAAAUUCAUUCUUGAGGAUGCUCUGGAAGUUAAAUACCUUGCCAAGGUCACACAGAUUAAGUGGUGGAGCAAGCUCUGUCUUUGAACCCAGCUCUGUCUCACCUCAAAGCUUAAGUAAUUUUGCCCCCCUUCGUGUGUUUGCAUCAGGGGGUGAGGUGAUGUGUGCGUGUGUGUGUGUGUGUGUGUGUGUGUGCAUGCAUGUGUGUAUUCCUACAGUCAGGCCCCACCUUCAGAGCAGUGCCUCCCUGUCCUACUCAGCCCUUCUUCUCUUGGGAUAGGUCUAGGGCCUUGAAGGUGGUUAGACUCUAGUGGCGCUGGCACAGGCUGGCUUUCUCAGGGCCUGUGUUGUCUGCCUGCUGUCCCUCAACCAGUAGCUUCUCUUGAGUCUUGCCCUCCCCUGCUGGGGCUAAGGUCUGGUUGGUUCCCAGGCCCCUGGGCCUUGGACAGGAGAGCGGUGGGAGAGGGCAGGACCAGCAAAGAAGAGACUGACAAAUACCACGGAUGCCUUCAUUUUCAGUUCCUGCUCACUCAGUCCUGCACACUUGCUUUCUGCAAUCUCUAGAAUCAAACAGUAUUCAAACUUGAAGAGGCCUUAGAAAACAACUAGUCUCUCCUCAUUUUAGAGAGAGAGACGGAGGCUCAGAAAGCAGAAAUGACUUGUUGAGAUCACUCAUGAAGCUGAUGGUACAGAGAGUUAGAGCCUCUGCUCCCUGCUCUACCUCUUUCCCCUACUCCACAUUCAUGCUUGCCUCAUCCAGUGGGCCAGCAUCUAUCCUGACACUUUACAGCCAAAAGGAACUUAAGCUAGGGAAAGGGCUGCAGAACUUUAGCGAAAGAUUCAAAACUGUCCAUUCAACUCAGUGGAGAAAACAGAAUAUUCAAUCAAUGGUGUUGGGAUGCCUGGAUUAUUGUUGGAAGGGGAUCGCAAAAAUGGAAACAAAACAAAUUUCAUUUGGAUCAAAGGUUUAAGUGUAAUAAAACUGUGUAAGUUCUAUGAGGCAGUAUGGGUAAACUGAUUUAUAUUUUGUAAUGGGAAAGCCUUUCUUUUUUUCCAACUUUUAUUUUAGACUUAAGGGGUAUAUGUGUAGGUUUGUUAUGAGGUAUAUUACAGGAUUCUGCAUUUUGGGGUACCAUCAAACCCAUCACCCACAUAGCAUACUGGGAAUGCUUUUCUAAUCAAGAUGGAAAACCCAGAGUCAUACAGGAAAAGACUGAUACAUUCAACCACACUGAAAAAGUUUUUAACUUCGGUAUGGAAAAUUACCAUUAAAAUGUUUUCCCGGUAACUGAG